CCUACGGGAGGCAGCAGUGAGGAAUAUUGGUCAAUGGCCGAGAGGCUGAACCAGCCAAGUCGCGUGAGGGAAGACGGCCCUACGGGUUGUAAACCUCUUUUGUCGGGGAGCAAAGCGAGUCACGUGUGACUCAUUGAGAGUACCCGAAGAAAAAGCAUCGGCUAACUCCGUGCCAGCAGCCGCGGUAAUACGGAGGAUGCGAGCGUUAUCCGGAUUUAUUGGGUUUAAAGGGUGCGCAGGCGGAGGUGCAAGUCAGCGGUAAAAUUGCGGGGCUCAACCCCGUACUGCCGUUGAAACUGCAUCCCUUGAGUGCGCGAGAAGUAUGCGGAAUGCGUGGUGUAGCGGUGAAAUGCAUAGAUAUCACGCAGAACUCCGAUUGCGAAGGCAGCAUACCGGCUCCACACUGACGCUGAGGCACGAAAGCGUGGGUAUCGAACAGGAUUAGAUACCCCUGUAGUC
rnacentral:rRNA from 1 species